AGGAUUCUUCAUUGUUGCAGUUUUACCAGUGUUUACCACAGUGACGAGAUAUGAUUGGGAUCUUACAUGUGGGGAACGGAUGGGCUGUUCACCUGCGGUCAGGAGAUCAGUGUGGUUAACUCUCAUGAUGCUGAUCAAUGCUGUUUUGGUCUAUUUCUACAUCACAGCUCUGGAAAAUGAAAAGGAUCGUGUCGGAUGGACCUGUGUGAUUGUGUUUCUCCAGUCUCUCUGGGCACUGGUCAACUUCACACGGUCAUUUCAGUCAUUCGGUACAGUAUAAAUCAUCUGCUCUGAUCAUCUUCUCACUGUCAUGAUUUCACUAUCAGCUCUUGUUUAUAUUCUCUUCACUCCUCUGAACAGAAAUCAAGUCUCUACACUGGAAAAAAAUAUGAUCAUGUUUGUAACAGUAAAGGACUGUAAUAAUGCUACAGUAAAAAAACACUUAACAGUAAUUUCCUUUGAUAUAUACAGUGUCUUUUU